GUUUGAUCCUGGCUCAGAGCGAACGUUAGCGGCGCGCCUAACACAUGCAAGUCGCACGAGAAAGGGGGCAACCCCCGGUACAGUGGCGCACGGGUGAGUAACACGUGGAUUACCUUCCCUGGAGUGGUGGAUAACCUGCCGAAAGGUGGGCUAAUACAGCAUGAGACCACGCACUUUCGAGUGUGAGGUCAAAGCGGGCUUCUGUUUACAUGCUCGCGCUCUAGGAUGGGUCCGCGGCCCAUCAGCUAGUUGGUAGGGUAACGGCCUACCCAAGGCAACGACGGGUAGCUGGUCUGAGAGGAUGACCAGCCACACUGGAACUGAGACACGGUCCAGACUCCUACGGGAGGCAGCAGUGGGGAAUCUUGCGCAAUGGGCGAAAGCCUGACGCAGCGACGCCGCGUGGGUGACGAAGGCCU
rnacentral:rRNA from 1 species